rnacentral:rRNA from 1 species
GACGAACGCUGGCGGCGUGCUUAACACAUGCAAGUCGAACGGAAAGGCCCUGCUUUUGUGGGGUGCUCGAGUGGCGAACGGGUGAGUAACACGUGAGUAACCUGCCCUUGACUUUGGGAUAACUUCAGGAAACUGGGGCUAAUACCGGAUAGGAGCUCCUGCUGCAGGGUGGGGGUUGGAAAGUUUCGGCGGUUGGGGAUGGACUCGCGGCUUAUCAGCUUGUUGGUGGGGUAGUGGCUUACCAAGGCUUUGACGGGUAGCCGGCCUGGGAGGGUGACCGGCCACAUUGGGACUGCGAUACGGCCCAGACUCCUACGGGAGGCAGCAGUGGGGAAUAUUGCACAAUGGGCGGAAGCCUGAUGCAGCAACGCCGCGUGCGGGAUGACGGCCUUCGGGUUGUAAACCGCUUUCGCCUGUGACGAAGCGUGAGUGACGGUAAUGGGUAAAGAAGCACCGGCUAACUACGUG